rnacentral:rRNA from 1 species
CAGCAGCCGCGGUAAUACGAAGGGUGCAAGCGUUAAUCGGAAUUACUGGGCGUAAAGCGUGCGUAGGCGGAUAUUUAAGUCCGUUGUGAAAGCCCUGGGCUCAACCUGGGAAUUGCAGUGGAUACUGGGUCACUAGAGUGUGGUAGAGGAUAGUGGAAUUUCCGGUGUAGCAGUGAAAUGCGUAGAGAUCGGAAGGAACAUCUGUGGCGAAGGCGACUAUCUGGGCCAACACUGACACUGAGGCACGAAAGCGUGGGGAGCAAACAGGAUUAGAUACCCGCGUAGUCCCUGUCUCUUAUAU